GAAGUCCAUGGAUGAUCCAUGGAGCUUUUAACCCAUGGAUCCUUGGAAAAGGAAAGGUCAUGGGUUAUUAGGGUUUCACCCUAACCAUGCACACUAUAUAAGCAUGCUUAUGGAGCAUGAAAUGGCAACUAGUGAACUAGUGUGUGUGUGCUUGUGUGUGGCCAAAAAUACAAGUGUGUAUACUCUCUCAAAGUUUUCCAAGAGUUUGUGGUGUUUUGUGAUUCCAUUUGAGGCAUUCACACUAUUGGUGCUUGGCCCUCAAACUCCUUAAGAACCAAACUCAUCAAAAAGGUAUGUAAUCUCUUCUAACUCUUUUAUGUUGAAAUGUUCCCCAUGCCAUGUUAGAUAGGUUAUGAACCUUGGAAAAUUAUUAUUUUGCAUGUAUUUAGACAAACAUAGAUCCAAGGUUUAUUAGGGUUGCAUGCACACUUAGGAAGUGUUAGAUUGCUCAAAACCCAACAGUGGUAUCAGAGCCUAGGCUUGCUUGUUUGAUACUUGAUGCAAAAUAGUGAAAAAAGUUGAAAUUGUUGCUGUCUGGCUGAUGGACUCGCCGAGUCCAUGGGGGGACUCGCCGAGUUCAAGGCAAAAUUCAUCCUACUCGGCGAGUAGGUUCGUGCACUCGGCGAGUAGAAUGAUCAGAAUGCAGAAUUUCGACUUUUGCUGCUGGAAAUGGACUAGAAACAUUACCCUAAACUGUUUUGGUGUUUUAAAACUUGUUUUAGUUGGUGUAAUGGUUGUUCUAAUCCAUUUACAAUAGCAUAUAUCAAAAUUCCAUGAUUUUUAUGUGUUCAUAUAAUUCUUGAAAUUUUGAUGAUCAUGUUCAUGUUCUUAUGAAUUUAGAAGAUGAUAGGAAUUAUUUGCUGAAUUGUUUAGAAUUAAUUCUUGAUCAUUUAUGUGUUUUAAUGGAGUCCAUAAUUUGUCCUCAAGUUAUGGAUAUCCAAAGGUCACUUUUCUUUAACACACACAUUUAAACACAUAAGUUACAUGAAAAUGAAGAGUCUUCAUUUUUAUGAACCUUUAAUUCAUAAGUUAUGAAAUGAAAAGUUUUGGAUAGUUACAAAACUUGCCCUCAAGUUUUGGAAUUUGAAAAGUUUCACACACUUUAAUAAACUUUAAUUCCAACACUUAGAGUUUUAAAAGUUAAAAUUCAACACUUAUACUAUUUAUAACAUUAAUGGUUAAUUAUUAUAUAUAUGUAUAAGAACAAGUCGUUUUACCGUUAGUAGGCCUCAUUCACGAAGCCGGUCUAUAAGGUGGGUAUAAGGUUGUUGCCUAUAAAAUGGCGACUUAAUGGGUGUCCACUCUCACCCACCGCUUGCUUGAUCGGUGGAGGGUCGUUAGCCGAACGGGUAGGACAAUGACUUUAAAUUCUCAUUAAAAGUAUAAUGAUUAUUAUAAAGUAACUAAAAAUUUUUUAUUUAAUUCCCAAUCUUAGUUACUUUAGGAAAAAUGUGAAUUUGGUGCUAGCCCAUGGAAUUCACACUUUGUACCUUACCAAGUCGUUGGUGGAGCGUGUGUGGUUAACCGGCACACUAACUUGGACUAGUAAGGAUCACGAAGGGUGACUUAAUGUUUGUCAUAGAUCAAUGGAGCGUGUGUGGUUAACCGGCACAUUGAUUAGGUGAUAAUAUUAAGGGUACCAAGUGAAUUGGUAUGGUUAUUCACACCUUGUUUUGUGAUCCUCGGCAUCCCAGUCACAAAAUUUGAGAGGGCACACUCGAGAUUGAAACAUGCCAUUGAAAAGUUCAAUGAAUCUCAAAAGAUCUAGGAAUUUCAAAUCCAAUUAAAACCUAAUAAAUUAUUUCGUUUUUCAUGGUGGAAAUUGGUGAAUCGUCAUUCGCCUACCUUCAAAUAUUUUAUAGCUUGGAUUACGGCAUCCCUCUUCCAAAUUAUAAAAUAUUGUGUUGGGUCCUAGCCUUAAUAUUUCAUAUUGGGUGUUAUAUUAAGGACUUUGAAUCAACUAACUUGAUUUUCUCCCAUUAUAGAUGUCUGGUUCAGACAACUAUGAUCUUCCCAAAUCUCUUGAAGAUGGUGUCCCUCAACAUCAUGCUUCACUUCCUCCACCUCCUCCAAUUAUUCUCCCUCACCCACAAGUUCUUGAAAAGUUUAAAGUCACUCAAUCCCUAUUGGCAAGCAUAGUCUAUGUGUGCUCACAUCUUGGAGAUAAAGUCACAUAUUGACAAGCCGGGAGAGUUGGGUGUCAAAGUCUCGUGAAAGUUGGAUGUUCAAUCACUUUCUUAGUAACAUAGUGAGUCUCUUUGGGACUACUAUGAGACAGACUAUGACAUGACCCUUAAUGAUGUUAUCUAUUUGCUUGGUGUUGUGGAAUCAGCAAUGAUUUGGAACACCAGUAAAGCAAAUUUGAUUAAAAGAACAACUUCCCAAGUCUUAAAUGGACAUUGACAAUGGUAGCAUUGGAUAUCUAGAAAAGGAUUUCUCUUCCCAAUGGAAAGGGAUCGGCCAUAGUCAACUCGGUUGACCAAAUGGUAAAGAGAAAGGCUAAGUCUGAGAUAGUCUCAUGUGCCAUUACCAAAGGGUCCAUGUGUUUUGUUGCCAAAGGAAGGGGCAUUGGUUGCGAAGCUGCCCUAUUCACCUGAAAGGUCAUAAGGUUGAUCAAGUCAAGAGGUUUGACUCUACUUCGGGUAAAGUCCACUGUCUAACUCUAUUAAGUUCCUAUUUGGAGAUUCUUAUUACAUAAUGUGAAUGGGUCACAUGCUGAUGUUUUUAAGAAUCAAAGAAAAGAUAGGAAGCUUAAAGUAAGUAUAUGUUGAUUCUGAUUGCGAAGGUGGGUUUCGAUCGCAUGGUUCGGUAAUCAGAAUUUUGAGCUGUUGCUUAAGAGUUAUAAUAUAUUGCUUAUGAAUAGAUAACAACAAGGUUUUCAUGUGGAUUGUAAGGAUAAGUUUUUCCGCAAAGUUUUAAAAAAAAAAAAAAAAAGGGUUUUAAUUUUAUUUAUUUUAAAAAUAUCCUUACAAUGGCAUCUGUGGAAAAUUGUUGCUUAUAUGUUUCCAGUAAUAGCAAUAUUGGAAAGUGGAUUUGAUUCUUUCAUUUGUGGUAGUGUCUGAAUUUACCAAAUGAAGAAAGUUUUUCAUCACCCAAGUUUCAAUUGGACAGAAACUUGGAAUCAUACAAGUUGUAUUGUAUGAUGAAUGAGAAUUUUCAUCUUUGAAAAUUAAGACUAAUUCUUUGAUCACAUGUAUAUGUGAGUCAAUUGAAGGACUAAGGAAUUAGGUACACUGGGUGUGCGCUGGUCAAGGUCCACCACAAAGAUUGAUUUGUCAUGAUUUACUAAAGAUUAGUAAAUAUGAUUAUACUUAUGAGGUUAAGUAUAAUUCUGUAACAUUGGAAAGGUUACAAUGUAUGACAAAACAAAUGAGAAGAAUCAAAUUAGGCAGAAAGAUAAAAGUUUCUCAAAUCUGAAAGGAUGGGAGAGUACUUUAGUAUCGUAUUUCAUGAUCAUCUUAAUGAUUAUGAAACCAUAUCACAAAUUCAUACUCUAAGGACGUCUUAGUGCAUUGUUAUGGCUAAGAAGAGAGGUCAUGAAUUGUUGGAUUGGUUAAAAUCAAGAAGAUGAGUCAUACUUCGUUCCAAAACAAUUCUUAGAGUCAUACUCCAAGAUUGUAACUUUGAGUGACAUAAAGGAAGAUUUAUUAACACUAGUCAAAUGUAAGAGUAAAAUGUUUUCUACUCUUGUACAUUUGAGAUUGGUAAGUUGUGAUGUCUUGGAUGAGACAAAGACCAACUAAGACCAAUUGUGUGAAGUGUUAGUCUUGAUAAGAAUCCGCACUAUCCCUUGAAUAUUUGUUUUGUCAAGGAAUGGUUCUUGACUGGGGAAACUUAUAUGUCAAGGGGACAGUGGGAGCCUUAAAGAUCCUGAAAGAGUUUCAAGAUUUAAUCAAGAGUAAAACCUGUAAUUUAUCACUAGCACACGACUUAAGGUUUGCAACCUAUCGUGUUGACAUAAUUCUUAUUUCUGUACCUACUUCAAAUAAGUUGAAUUUGCAUGUGAGUUAUCAGAGUUCAACUUGGAAGCAUUGGUGGGCCUUGUGCUACCAAGGUGACAAGAAACUAAGAUUGAACAAGUUUAAUCCAUGUAAGGCUGAAUUUGUCACUAACCUUAUCUUGUGAUUAUGGUUUUGACAAAUUCACAUGGAUAGGAACUCAUACACUAUAAAAUCUAAGUGUCAUAAGGUUUCUCUCCGAUUCAUGAAAAUGAUGGUGAGGAAACGCUUUCACUAAGUAGAUUUUACGUAGAUAUCAAUUGUGUUAUUUGCAUUUUCAAAAGUCGUUAGUGGAGCGCGUGUGGUUAACCGGCACACUAACAUGGACUUGUGAGAAAUGGCAAAUGCCUAAGCAAUUGAGACUAUGAUUACGGCAUCCCUUUUCAUAGUUCUGAAAAUUGUUUAGACACACAUGUGAGCUAUCUAAGAAAGGGUGUAUGAAUCUAAAUUUCAGAAGUCCAGCAGAUUUCUGGAAAUAUGUCAGAGCUAGUGGGAGCAUAAGUGUUAUGCUGAUAAUCAUCAUGUUAGUGGGAGCAUGAUUAUUACGUUUAGUGUUGCAAGUUAGCAAUGUUAAUUAUAGAAAACAAAGUUUCAAUUCGUGAAGUUGCAGGGGUUGAAAAGUUGUUUUGCUAUAAUUAAGGGAGAGGAAAUUAUACUUCAUUUCAAUUCUAAAGCUUAGAUUGAGAUUUUAAUCAUCUUUAGUCAAGAAUAUAUAUAUGAAUUUUAUGUUGGAAUGGUUCAACUUGAAGAAAUUCUAUAUAUAUUGCGUUUUCAAAAUUCGAUUAUGAUUACGGCAUCCCUCUUCAUAGUUAAAUUUUGAAAACAUGGCAAAUAAAAAAUAUUGUAGCAAAAGACUGGUCUAGUAUCAUGUCUUUAUGUCAAACAUCAUGAAUCGUGUCCCAUAUGCUUCGGAUAUAGGAUCGAUUGCAUGUGCUAUAAUAUUCAUCUUUUCUAAAUUUUCCAAAUGCUUAAGGCAUUGAGAAGGGAAAAGUCUAGAACUGGAUAUGACUAAAGUGAUUAAGCAAUUGUCGAGGACAAUCUGAGGUUCGCCAAAGAUUGGUUGCUCAGGGAAAGUUGGAAGUAUGAUGUAAGUUGUCGGAAAGGACCAUAUUGACAUAUUCUGAAAAGAAGUAACUCUUGUUCGGAAGUGAUAGUCAAAAUGGGACUAUGGAAAUGUCUCCAUAGGUGGAAGUUAUUCAAUCUAUGUAAGAUUAGAAAACCUUAAUGCAAGAAGGAUGUUCAAAGCAAUGUACUUUGAAUAUGAGACUUCCGUUCCAUAGAAGUUGACCUUCUUUGGAAUACUCUGUAAUGACUGGUGACAAGGUUUUGGUGACUUUGUGCAUAAUCAUUACAAGAGGAACAUUGCAUAAAAGUUUAAAAUCUAACAGUUUUUUUGGUAAAUGAUAGGAAUCGGGGAUUCUCACAUUUACAAUAAGGAUUUGGGAUUGUGAAAUGAGUAUCAUUGGAAUCAUGUUCAAUUGAUCUACAUCACAAUGUAAGGAUCAUAGACAAACAUAGUGUGCAUACUUGGAGUAUGGCAUAACUAUUGUUUAGAAAAACAAAGUGUACAUGCUAGGAGCAUGGGACGACUGUUGUUUUUAUUCAAGUCUUAAGUUGAUUGUUUGAAACAUUAUACAAUGAAUAAUGUGUAAUCAAUAUGGUGAUAAAUAAAAGGUGGUUCUAUUUAUAUUCAAAAGGGUUCUGAGACCAUAUUGGAUUCGAUUAUUAUUGUGUUUCACUUUGCAUGUUUUGACUUCCAAAAUAGCUAGGUUAUUCUUUCCGAAUGACUAAGUUAUUUAAACACUCCACAGUCGUUCAUAUGUUGGAAGUAGGUAUGAAUCAAGACUGUCAUGAAUCGAGUUUGUAGAUGGCUAAAUGGGUUUAGUCAUAGCAAUGGUUGCUACAACAUUCAUGAGUGCUCAUAAGUUAUGAGUAUUGGAAUAAACCCACGCUCACUUGUAUCACUUCAUGGAAUUUAUCUCGAGUGAUCGUGAGACGGUAAUAUCAUAUAAAUCUUCAAACCUAGAGAUAUGAGUUGUUACCUAUGAGUUGGUUGUGCAUUGAUUGCACGUAAACGCAUCAGUAACUUGAUGUUAUAAAACGUGCCUUUGUGUACAAUUCAACAAGUAGUAGAACAAGCAUAUGAGUCGAAGUUUAUCUGUUCCUUCUAGAAAUAGAAGCGAUAUCUGGGCCCCUCGAUGAUUUUGUUGUGACCUAUGUACCGGCCGGUCAGAACUAAAUUGAUGUGUUCGAUUAAGUUCUUUGUCAAACAAAUCGAAAAUCGGGAAACAAACUGCUGGACAAUAAGUACGACGUUGUUCCAUGUAUUUGUCCGGCUGAUAUCAUGAGAACAGAGGAUUAUAUGAUCACUUAUCUAAAAUGGCGCUUCAUAGUUCAACAGAGUUUUCGAGAGCUACGAUUGCUGGUUGGUUCCUGAAGUAACAUACGCAAAUAUAGUUAUUAGACUUAUCCAAGUGGGAGUCUGUUGGAUAAGGUGUCUAAGUCCAUAACUUAUUUGGUACAUACUUGACCCGACCCGGCAUGGUCCAUUUGGGUUGCACUUCACCCGAACUAUUUAUGGAUAAUUUUAUGAGAGUUAUACACAUAUGUUUAUUAAUAUAUUGUAAGUUAUAAUAUAUUAAUAUGAAGUUAUUUAAUUAGUCUUAGUCUUAAAUUAAUUAUGAAUUAAUUUAGAGAUUAAAAGGAAGACUAAUUAAAUUGUGGGCUAUUGUUUUAUAUGGUGUGGGCUAACACUCAUUUGUUAAUGGGCUAGGCUUAUAUGGAAGUCCAUGGAUGAUCCAUGGAGCUUUUAACCCAUGGAUCCUUGGAAAAGGAAAGGUCAUGGGUUAUUAGGGUUUCACCCUAACCAUGCACACUAUAUAAGCAUGCUUAUGUUGCAUGAAAUAGCCACUAGUGUGGUUUUGUGUGUGUGGCCGAUUUUCUAUGUGUGUAUACACUCUCUCUAAAGUUUUCUAAGAGUUUGUGGUGAUUUGUGAUUCCAUUUGAGGCAUUCACACUAUUGGUGCUUGGCCCUCAAACUCCUUAGGAAUCAAACUCAUCAUCAAAAGGUAUGUAAUCUCAUCUAAUUCUUUUAUGUUUAAAAGUACCCCAUGCCAUGUUAGAUAGGUUAUGAACCUUGGAAAAAUUAUUAUUUUGCAUGUAUUUAGACAAACAUAGAUCCAAGGUUUAUUAGGGUUGCAUGCACACUUAGGAAGUGUUAGAUUGCUUAAAACCCAACAACUUGUUCAUCGGAUGAAGGUGAACUCG
rnacentral:lncRNA from 1 species